CCCAGACCCACAGCUAAGGUCCCCAAAUACCAUUAAGUGGAAAAGGAUGUGAAAUUGCACAGACAACCAGGAUGUUGGCUCAGAAGCAGCCACACAUUUAAAGAGUGCGUAACAGCUCACUGGUCGAGUGGUUUUGCGCCGAAGAUGUAACGGGGCUAAAUGGUAUACCAAAGCUUGGGACUCAUAUGUAAAUAUGAGUGGUAGGGGAGCGUUCUCUAUGGGGUGAAGCAUGAGUGAAAACGCAUGUGGACUGUAGAGAAGUGAGAAUGCCGGAAUGAGUAGCGAGAUUUAUGUGAGAAUCAUAAAGGCCGAAUAUCUAAGGUUUUUGGAGCAAGGUUCGUCCCCUCCAAGUUAGCCGGGAGCUAAGGCGAGGCCGAAAGGCGUAGUCGAUGCACAUAGGGUAGAAAUUCCCUAGCCACCGAAGAGAAGAGGACACUUUGUAAAGUUUUAAGUAUGGCGUUGGUUGCCCGUACUUGAGAGGAUAUAGAGGCGAGAAAAGCCUUCUCGAAUAAAGGUGCCCGUACCGCAAACCGACACAGGUAGAUGGGAUGAGAAUUCUAAGGCCGUCGGGAGAAUGAUUGUUAAGGAACUCGGCAAAUUGACCCCGUAACUUCGGGAGAAGGGGUGCUCUUUAAAUAGAGCCGCAGAGAAUAGGUCCAGGCAACUGUUUAUCAAAAACACAGGUCUGUGCUAAAUCGAAAGAUGAUGUAUACGGGCUGACGCCUGCCCAGUGCUGGAAGGUUAAGAGGAGAAGUGAGAGCUUUGAAUUGAAGCCCCAGUGAACGGCGGCCGUAACUAUAACGGUCCUAAGGUAGCGAAAUUCCUUGUCAGGUAAGUUCUGACCCGCACGAAUGGCGUAAUGAUUUGGGCACUGUCUCGACAGCCCGCCCGGCGAAAUUGUAGUACCGGUGAAGAUGCCGGUUACCCGCGACAAGACGGAAAGACCCCAUGGAGCUUUACUGUAACUUGAUAUUGGACUUUGGUAUAUUAUGUACAGGAUAGGUGGGAGACUGUGAACCUGUGGCGCCAGCUGCAGGGGAGUCGUCCUUUGGAUACCACCCUUAAUGUACUGAAGUUCUAACCUGCCGCCAUGAAUCUGGCGGGGGGACAUUGUCAGGUGGACAGUUUGACUGGGGCGGUCGCCUCCCAAAGUGUAACGGAGGCGCGCGAUGGUGGGCUCAGGCCGGUCGGAAACCGGCUGUCGAGUGCAAUGGCAUAAGCCCGCCUGACUGCGAGAGUGACAGCUCGAGCAGAGACGAAAGUCGGCCAUAGUGAUCCGGUGGUCCCGCGUGGAAGGGCCAUCGCUCAACGGAUAAAAGGUACUCUAGGGAUAACAGGCUGAUCUCCCCCAAGAGUCCACAUCGACGGGGAGGUUUGGCACCUCGAUGUCGGCUCAUCACAUCCUGGAGGUGAAUUCGCUUCCAAGGGUUUGGCUGUUCGCCAAUUAAAGUGGUACGCGAGCUGGGUUCAGAACGUCGUGAGACAGUUCGGUCCCUAUCUGUCGUGGGCGUAGGAUAUUUGAAUGGAGCUGUCCCUAGUACGAGAGGACCGGGAUGGACGCACCUCUGGUGCACCAGUUGUCACGCCAGUGGCACAGCUGGGCAGCUACGUGCGGAAAGGAUAAACGCUGAAAGCAUCUAAGCGUGAAGCCCCCCAUAAGAUAAGAUAUCCCACUGAUUAAUUCAGGUAAGACCCCUUGUAGACUACAAGGUUGAUAGGUUGCAGGUGUAAGUAUGGUGACAUAUUUAGCUAGGCAAUACUAAUAGGUCGAGGGCUUGACCUU
rnacentral:rRNA from 1 species